CCGCUGCCAGGGCCCAAAGCAUCAUCCCGGCCCGCCCCAUCCCGGCCCAGCCACGGCCCGACAGCUGCGAGACUGGGGCAGAGGGACGCCCGGGCCGUACACACUCAGCCCCACAAACCCCGCCCUCCCGAGAGUACUGACUGACAGUCCCGCCAGCCACUCACAGAGCGCCCAUCUGCUGGUGUUCGGAGGGCCCUGGACCUCAAAUCGCCUGAUGACUGAUUUUGGACCAAGGCGAGAAGAACACAGGAUCAGACUGGAUCUGGACCCAGUUCUCUCCACUUCCCACUUUUGAAUGGGGCCAGAAACACCCAAGUACCUCAGGCCCUUUUGUGUUCUUGUCAAGCAUGGAUGAAAAUGAAAGGUGGUCUGUAUUGACCUAAAAUUCAAGGCCACGAUCCCACACAUAGGGGAAAGAAGAACGUGGAGUGCUUCCUGAUAGUAUUGGG